rnacentral:rRNA from 1 species
AAAAGCGCCGGCGAGGUGAUAUGAACCCUUGACCCGGCGAUGUCCGAAUGGGGAAACCCAGUGCAAUCCGUUGCACUAUCGUUAACUGAAUACAUAGGUUAACGAGGCGAACCGGGGGAACUGAAACAUCUAAGUACCCCGAGGAAAAGAAAUCAACCGAGAUUCCCCCAGUAGCGGCGAGCGAACGGGGAGCAGCCCGGAGUCUGAAUCAGCUUGUGUGUUAGUGGAACGGUCUGGAAAGU